CAGGUGGAUAAGGUCUGGAUAUCCUUGCAAGCAUAAACUCUGCAGCAUGACUGAGAGAUAGGGUAUGCGAUGUGAUCCAGUGACCACAGAAAAGCGUUGGUAGACACAUUGCAUCAAAGUGCCUGUUAAAGACCAACUACAUGAGGAGAGGGCCCAUGCUUUGUUAUAAGCAUGUCCAUACACGUAUUACAAUGCCAGGCUUUCAAUUUGUUAUCACAAAGCAAAAUGCAGUUGUGGAUAUAAACUCACAACAUAUCGUAAGAAAAACUGUUUGAACGCCAGACUGAGACUCGAGAUCAGUGAACAGUGGACCAAAAUAGAUAAAUGAAAU